AACGCUAGCUACAGGCUUAACACAUGCAAGUCGAGGGGAAACGACAUCGAAAGCUUGCUUUUGAUGGGCGUCGACCGGCGCACGGGUGAGUAACGCGUAUCCAACCUGCCCGCCACUUGGGAAUAACCUUGCGAAAGUAAGACUAAUACCCAAUGAUAUCUCUAGAAGACAUCUGAAAGAGAUUAAAGAUUUAUCGGUGAUGGAUGGGGAUGCGUCUGAUUAGCUUGUUGGCGGGGUAACGGCCCACCAAGGCGACGAUCAGUAGGGGUUCUGAGAGGAAGGUCCCCCACAUUGGAACUGAGACACGGUCCAAACUCCUACGGGAGGCAGCAGUGAGGAAUAUUGGUCAAUGGACGAGAGUCUGAACCAGCCAAGUAGCGUGCAGGAAGACGGCCCUAUGGGUUGUAAACUGCUUUUAUAAGGGAAUAAAGUGAGUCUCGUGAGACUUUUUGCAUGUACCUUAUGAAUAAGGACCGGCUAAUUCCGUGCCAGCAGCCGCGGUAAUACGGAAGGUCCGGGCGUUAUCCGGAUUUAUUGGGUUUAAAGGGAGCGUAGGCCGGAGAUUAAGCGUGUUGUGAAAUGUAGACGCUCAACGUCUGCACUGCAGCGCGAACUGGUUUCCUUGAGUACGCACAAAGUGGGCGGAAUUCGUGGUGUAGCGGUGAAAUGCUUAGAUAUCACGAAGAACUCCGAUUG
rnacentral:rRNA from 1 species